rnacentral:misc_RNA from 1 species
ACAAGACUUUGUACACUUCAAGUACAUGUCGCGUAUAGCUGCUUACAGAUCUAGUCGGAUAAGCUGUUUUCGAGGGUAUAGGAUUAAAUUCAUUUCACAGAAGCGAAAGGCUGUGAAUUCCUGAUCCAAAUGGUGCCAGAUGAUCCGCCUGUGACCCUCAAGUUCACUGGCAGGGAGACUCGAGCAUGUCACCAGUUGGCCGCGAUCUGCGCAGAUGCGCUCGCAAAAAACUGUGAGCUCUGCGCCACCGUAGUGGGUAAUAACGACUCUGAUUGCUCGGUUCAACUUGAGUUCAAACAGGACGUGUUUAAACCGACAGAACGUAACGAGACAUGCUUGGAGAGGGACAUAGAGCCAUACUGCUCAACAUUCUUUCUAGGAAUGAAUAUAACGAGAAAAAACAAUUCACUGACUAGCGCUAGUUUUGACAUCAUUCUUACAGCUAACAUUCCCGCAGACCGUUACAAAACAAACUGGGGAGUAAUUGGUGGAAUCAUAGGCGGAGUGAUUUUCGGAAUAACAGCCAUAGUGUUUGUCGUGCUAUGGAUCAUUGGCACUUGCAGGAAAUACAGGGGUGGGGAGCAGAGGCAUAGUCCAGGGAGCACAGCCCCGUUGAAACAUUAGAGCAGCCCAAGCUAGCAAGUGGACAAAAGCUAUACCUACCAGACUUUGCAAGGAAACAAGCACACAGAGCCGCCAUAUUUUGACGAUCCUCCAGAAUCUAAACCCGAGCAAAGAUGAAUAUACGACAGACUGUUACUACCACAAUGAAUUUGUAUAAUUUACAUAUGUAUAAAGCUUUAAAUGGAUUCUUGCAUGUUCAGGGAUAUGUUUUAUGCAUUCUAUGCUACACUGCCAACACUAUGGCGACUUUAUCGGGUAUUAACAGCAAGGAAAAAGGUAAUAGUAUAAUUUACAACAAGAACAAAUGAACAUAUUAUUUGUAAAUAUCCAGUAAUGUACUAGCUAUAAUAUUUUGGUCAAUGUAAAUACAUUUUGUUUGUAGAUUAUGUAUACCUAACUCUAAUAUUUGAUGCAUUGAGUUUGAUCACGGACAUUCAGCCGUCAACGGUCUUGCACAUAUCAUGUAUUAUAUUUAUUGAAAAAAACCCAUAUUGUUCAAAAUUUACGUUGUUCAAAACACGUUUUCUCAGUUUAGCACAUUUCUAUUUAUUGCAUAAAAUUGGAUAUGCCAC